UUUAUGGAGAGUUUGAUCCUGGCUCAGGAUGAACGCUGGCGGCGUGCCUAAUACAUGCAAGUCGAGCGAACAGACGGGGAGCUUGCUCCCCCGACGUUAGCGGCGGACGGGUGAGUAACACGUGGGUAACCUACCUAUAAGACUGGAAUAACUCCGGGAAACCGGGGCUAAUGCCGGAUAACAUGUUGGACUGCAUGGUCCUUCAGUUAAAGACGGUCUUGCAGUCCCUUUUUGAUAGACCCCCGCCGUAUUAUCUAGUUGGUAAGGUAACGGCUUACCAAGGCACCGAUACGUAGCCC
rnacentral:rRNA from 1 species